UUUUCCCUGGCCUAUCUGGUGGGCGCGGCGAUCAUGCUGAUGGUUGCGGACGCGCGCUUGAUGCUGCCUUUGCUCAUCUGGUUUGUACUCUAUGGGUUUUUGGUGCGCUGGACGAUUCAGCGGGUGGGGC
rnacentral:tRNA from 1 species